UAAAAAAAUUUAAUUUAAAUUCAUUUUACAUGCAAAUUUUAGUAUGAAUUUUAUAUUAUUUUGAUAAUAAUAUAUAAUUAUUGUAGUAAUUAAUAUUAAAAAUUUAAGAAAUUAAGAUUUAGUAAUAUUUAAAAAUUAUGAGCAAAUUUUGUGCCAGCAGUUGCGGUUAUACAAAAUAUAAUUUAAAUUUUAUUAGUAAAUUAUUUAAUAAUAAAAAGAUAAAAAUUAAAUAUGAUAUUAUUAGGUGAAAUUUUAAUUGAAAAAAAUUUUAAAUUAUAUUAUGUUUUAAAAAAUUUUUUUUAAAAACUAGGAUUAGAUACCCUAUUAUUAAAAAUUAAGUUAAAAUACUAAAAUAGUAAAUAAUAAUUUAUUGAAACUUAAAUAAGUUGGCGGUAUUUUAGUUCAUUUAGAGGAAUCUGUUUAAUAAUUGAUAAUCCACGAAUAAAUUUACUUAAUAUUGUAAUAAAUAAUUAUAUUUUAUGAUUAUUUGUUAAAAAUUUUGUAUAUCGUUGUUAAAAAAAUAUUUUUUAAUGAAAAUAAUAUUUAAAAAUUUUUAAAUAAAUUAGUUCAGAUCAAGAUGCAGAUAAUUAUUAAGAAUAUGAUGGAUUACAAUAAUAUUAAUAAAAUUAAAUGAAUAAUAUUUUGAAAUAAAUAUUUGAAGGUGGAUUUAAAUGUAAUUUUAUUUAUUUUAUUAAAAUGAUUAUAAAUUAAAAUAUGUACAUAUUGCCCGUCGCUUUCAUUAAUAAAUUGAAAUAAGUCGUAACAAAGUAGAAGUACUGGAAAGUGUUUCUAGAAAGAA
rnacentral:ncRNA from 2 species